UACGGGGGGGGCAAGCGUUGUUCGGAAUUACUGGGCGUAAAGCGCUCGUAGGCGGCCCACUAAGUCCGUCGUGAAAUCCCCAGGCUUAACUUGGGAACUGCGUCGGAUACUGGUGGGCUUGAAUCCGGGAGAGGGAUGCGGAAUUCCAGGUGUAGCGGUGAAAUGCGUAGAUAUCUGGAGGAACACCGGUGGCGAAGGCGGCAUCCUGGACCGGUAUUGACGGUGAGUGAGCGAAAGCCAGGGGAGCAAACGGG
rnacentral:rRNA from 1 species